UAUCUCCCGCCAAGAUAACAGAGGAACAGAGACGAGCAGCUUUCUCAGGCACAGGUUUCAGAUUCUGAGGUCUCAAAAGGCGAAGCCAUUUCUCUCCGCGCUUUUGCAGUCACUGAAGAAUCAACCGCAUGUGUUCAUGGCUCUCUCUCCUGACCUCCCUCUGCUGUCCUUCUCUGUAGGGAGGAGAAGCGCUCACUAGGAGCCACCUGGCCCCCAGAUAACAGCUGAACAGGCGGUGCCCGAAGAAGGAGGAGGACCUGAGAUCUAUCUUCCCGUAUCAGAGGAGCUGGCCUGAGCAAGAGCGAUUAGACUUGAGCUCUGCGGCUUCCUAGGGUCAGACACAGGGCCAGUGGGUGAAGGCUCAAGGACCGCGAUUUCUACUCAUUCUCAGGAGGAAUUUUCUUACAGCUGGAUAGAAUUUCCUGCCAGCCCCUUGGCAGGCAGCAGGGCCACAGACUUGGUGGAAAGAUCAUCGACUUUGGAGUUUCUCUGCGUUUGUAUCUCUCUCUGACUCUUAUUAUCUGUGGGCUGUGUGAAAGUCACGCCAUGUGUCUGAGUCCCAGUUUCCUCGUCCAUAGAAGGCAGGGGGGAAAUCGAGGAGAGGUUUCUCCUAUUAGUCCGAGAUGUGACAGAAGAGAAGACAGAAGAGAUGAGGUGCGAGAAGGACUUGACCACCAUUGCUGGCAUUGAAGAUGAAGGAGUCCAUGAGCCAAAGAACGUGAAGUGGCCUCUAGAAGCUGAGAACAACCCUAGGUCAACAGGCAGCAAGGAAAAGGCGACUUCAGCCCUCCAACUGCAUGGAACUGAAUUCUGCCAACAACCUUCAUGAGGCAGGGAGCCGACUCUCCCCCAGAGCCGUCAAAUUUAAAUCUGGAAUUUAAAUAACAAUGGAAUUAUGUGUUCUUUGGAGAUUUUGUGGAAAUCCUUUGUGACACCAUCUGAACCUGAUACUUUAGGUUUCGUAGGGUCAAGAAUCCAGGCGCAGCUUAGCUGGGAGGUUCUGGCUCAUGAUCUCUGAUGAAAUUUCAGUUAAGCUGUUGGCUAAGGCUGAAGUCAUCUGAAGGCUUGACUGGGGCUGGAAGAUCCACUUCAAAGAAGGCUCACUUCCCUGGCUGUUGGCUGGAAGCCUCAGUUCCUUGCCAUGUGGGCCUCUCCACAGGGCUGCCUAAGUAUCCUCAAGACAUGGGACUGCCUAAGUAUCCUCAAGACAGCAACUGGCAUCCCCUAGAGUGAGUGAUCCAACACAGAGAAAGGGAAUGACCAAGAUGGAAGUCAUGGGUUUGGCAUCCAAUAUCAAGCCACUCACUAUCAAGCCCUUUUAACUCAAUUGACAAGGUUCUGGAGAACCAGGGCCCAUCACAGGCUAAGUUGGAAGAAGGGGUUGGACAGGAGAUGCAACUGCCAAUCACGCUGAACCAGACCAAGCCUCGCCCCAAGAGCUACGCCCAUGACCUUUGCCUUAUUUUUAAUGCUAAGAUCUCUCCAGGAGGAGCUUCGGCCUUAUCGCUUUAACCUGCAGUGCAUGUGAAAGCAUGUUUUCCUACUGAGCCUGCGCAAGCGAAUACCCACCUCUCCCUUUUGAGUAUUCAUUCCCCAUUGAAAAUAAAAGGUCCUUGCUUCCCUUUGUUUGGGGGACACCAUGACUUUGGAAAUGAUUCUGCAUGGCCUUCUAUUUGCUACAAAUAUAACUUACUUUGUGAGACAACUUCCACUGGUAUAGAGUUUUAUUUAACUCACCAGGAGGCAAACCCACUUGGUUAGAUAACAUACUGAGAAGGCCUGGGAGUCAUGACUCCCAGUGUCACUGUGCAUUGAGCACGUCUAGCUCUCAGAUUUUGGUUUCUAAAUAUCAUUCUGCACUAAAAGAAACCAAGGCUCUUUGGAGAAAUAGAAGAUUCCAGUUCUGGUUCAGGAAAAAUACAAGAUAAGCCUGAAACAUCCUGUGCCUGAAAGAGAGAAAGUGCUCAAAAAAUUGUGAGGGUAUGUCAAAACAACACAGAAACCAACUUGAAGGAGUUCCCACUGGCUGAAUCUAGGACAAUCUGAGCAGCAAAAUAAAUAAUGAGGUAACAGAUUAAAGCCCAUUGAAUAAAAUCGGAAUACAUGAGUUCAUGCUAAUCUAAAUAAACAAAUGAUAUAAAUUAAUUAAUUAAUGGUGAGAUACAGGAUAUUUAUAUCAUCUCAAAGUAACUCCUUUAUUACAAAGGGAAAAAGAAUAACUUUACAGUGGAGCAACCUGGUAGAUACCACGUCAACGAAGUGAUUAAAGUUAAUAUAACUAGGAUUGAGACUAAUAAAAAUUAUGUGCCACCUAAUGGAAUUCAAUGAGAAGAACACAUCGUUACUUCUGUGAUAUUCUCACCAAAGUCGUAUAACCUGAAUCGAAUCUUAAGGGAACAGCAGACUAACCCAAACUGAGGUACCAUCCACAAAAUAACUGGUCUGUAAUCUUCAAAUGUGCCAUGACCGACCGUGAAAAGCAAGGGAAGAAGGAGGAACUGCUCUACAUUGAAGGGGACUAAAGAGCCAUGAUGACUAAAAGCAGCAUAUUGUUCUGAACUGGAUCCUUCUACUACAAAGACAUUAUUGAGACAAUUGACGAAAAUUGAAUAGAGUGUGAGGACAAGACAGGUGUAACGUAUCAGUGUUAAUUUCCUAAUUUUGAUGGUUGUAUUGUGGUUAUGUAGGAAAAUGUAUACCUUUGUAAGAAAGUCACCUUAAAUAUUCAAGGAUGGUAAGGGUAUCAUAUCAACUUACUCUCAAAUGGUAUAGGGAAAGUUCUUUGUACUCCAAUUGCAAUUUUUGAAAAUCUGAUAUUACAUCAAAUUUUUUUAAAAAAUUUACAUCGUCCAAAGGCGUGAACAUUUUAACGAUUCUUGAUAAAAAUUGCUAAGUUGCUUUCCAAAAGGGUUGUACCUUGUCUUAUAACUAUGCAGUUCCAUUUUUUCCUAUUAAAUUUUUGUCAGGUAAGCCAGGCACUAACAGCAUUCAAAGACCUUAUUUUCAGACCUACCUGUCACACUUUAUAAUAGAAGUGCUGAUUUUCAUGAACUCACUUAUUAUCUCAAUGUGGGGGUAAUCACUCAUUGUAUCAUUAGCUGAUAAUGACUAGAUGAGUUGAUUGAGCUGCAAAUGACCAUGGUUACAGAUUGCAGCUCUAGCUGAUUAGAUAAAUAUGCCACAUAUUUCAUUUUGAUCAUAUCAAUUUCACUAUCAUUUGACUGAAAUGUCUUCCUUCAACCUAAAGUUCUCAUUAAGGCAUGGUAAUUUCUCUGAAAUAUGACUGUAUGUAUGACUUCUACCAGCCAAAACCAAUAGUUACAGAAAAGGAAGGUUAUUUUACAUUUUAGCAACUGCCUUGUUAUAUGAUUUUACACAAUUCUAGAAAUCUGAAGCUCCUUUGUUAGAAAGUGAAUAGUAUCUUUAUGACACUUGGAAUAGAACACGUGUGGCAGGGCAGAGAGAUCAGUGCUUCUUUAACUGACCAUCCUGUCUAGUUUAAGAAUUUUAGGAGGAAGAUGGGCACGGAUGUUAGCCCAGGGCCAGUGUUCUUCAGCAAAAAGAGGAGGAUUGGCAGAUGU